UACGAGGGGGGCGAGCGUUGUUCGGAAUUAUUGGGCGUAAAGGGUGCGUAGGCGGUUCCGCAAGUCCUGUGUGAAAUCUUCGGGCUCAACUCGAAGUCUGCACGGGAAACUGCGGGGCUUGAGUGUGGGAGAGGUGAGUGGAAUUCCGGGUGGAGCGGUGAAAUGCGUAGAGAUCCGGAGGAACACCGACGGCGCAGGCAGCGUCCUGGCCGCUAGCUGACACUGAGGCACGAAAGCUGGGGGAGCAAACAGG
rnacentral:rRNA from 1 species